rnacentral:lncRNA from 1 species
CCUGAGCCCUGGAAGAAUGAGGCUAAAUUUCUACUCCCAGGAAGAUGGAAGAAAUCAGGAUACGAAAGCAGCUUCAUCUCCAUGACAGUAAGAAGCUCGCGUUUAUGAGUCCGACUGUGCGCCAUCCUGGUAAGGGACCCUGGGGCCCGGGAGCUGGCAUCCGGAACGUAGUGCCCGCAGGCAAGGAGAACAGGAAGAGCCGCCAGCUCUGGAGAACGCUGGAAGCCCUUCUGCCAGGUGAGCGACUGCUGCACUUGCCUGUGGGGAAGCUCCCUGGAGGUGGGAGAGGCAGGCUGCGGGCACAGCUGGGGGAGGUGGGUUGACCUGGGGGGGGGAGGCC